rnacentral:rRNA from 1 species
UACGAAGGGUGCAAGCGUUACUCGGAAUUACUGGGCGUAAAGCGUGCGCAGGCGGCUUUGUAAGUCAGAUGUGAAAUCCCCGGGCUCAACCUGGGAACUGCAUUUGAGACUGCAAGGCUAGAGUACGGUAGAGGGGGAUGGAAUUCCGCGUGUAGCAGUGAAAUGCGUAGAUAUGCGGAGGAACACCGAUGGCGAAGGCAAUCCCCUGGACCUGUACUGACGCUGAUGCACGAAAGCGUGGGGAGCAAACAGG